GAUGAACGCUGGCGGCGUGCCUAAUACAUGCAAGUCGAGCGAACAGAUAAGGAGCUUGCUCCUUUGACGUUAGCGGCGGACGGGUGAGUAACACGUGGGUAACCUACCUAUAAGACUGGAAUAACUCCGGGAAACCGGGGCUAAUGCCGGAUAACAUUUAGAACCGCAUGGUUCUAAAGUGAAAGAUGGUUUUGCUAUCACUUAUAGAUGGACCCGCGCCGUAUUAGCUAGUUGGUAAGGUAACGGCUUACCAAGGCAACGAUACGUAGCCGACCUGAGAGGGUGAUCGGCCACACUGGAACUCAGACACGGUCCAGACUCCUACGGGAGGCAGCAGUAGGGAAUCUUCCGCAAUGGGCGAAAGCCUGACGGAGCAACGCCGCGUGAGUGAUGAAGGUCUUCGGAUCGUAAAACUCUGUUAUUAGGGAAGAACAAAUGUGUAAGUAACUGUGCACGUCUUGACGGUACCUAAUCAGAAAGCCACGGCUAACUACGUG
rnacentral:rRNA from 1 species